CGUAGGUGGCAAGCGUUGUCCGGAAUUACUGGGCGUAAAGCGUGCGCAGGCGGUUUGUAAGACAGCUGUGAAAUCCCCGGGCUUAACCUGGGAACUGCGGUUGUGACUGCAAGACUGGAGUGUGGCAGAGGGGGGUGGGAAUUCCACGUGUAGCAGUGAAAUGCGUAGAGAUGUGGAGGAACACCGAUGGCGAAGGCAGCCCCCUCGGGUCAACACUGACGCUCAUGCACGAAAGCGUGGGGAGCAAACAGGAUUAGAUACCCUGGUAGUCCACGCCCUAAACGAUGCCAACUAGGUGUUGGGGAAGGAGACUUCCUUAGUGCCGUAGCUAACGCGUGAAGUUGGCCGCCUGGGGAGUACGGUCGCAAGAUUA
rnacentral:rRNA from 1 species